GACGGAAGGUGCAAGCGUUGCUCGGAAUCACUGGGCGUAAAGGGUGCGUAGGCGGCCGUGUAAGUCUGACGUGAAAGCCCCGGGCUCAGCCCGGGAAGUGCGCUCGAAACUGCGCGGCUCGAGUGCCGGAGGGGAGAGUGGAAUUCCUGGUGUAGCGGUGAAAUGCGUAGAUAUCAGGAGGAAUACCGGUGGCGAAAGCGACUCUC
rnacentral:rRNA from 1 species